rnacentral:misc_RNA from 1 species
GUCUAGGUGAUCUGAAUUAUCCAUUGAUUUCUGACGUAACCAAGUCAAUUUCAAAAGCAUACAAUGUACUGAUCCCUGACCAGGGGAUUGCAUUGAGAGGACUUUUCAUCAUUGACAAGGAAGGAGUUAUUCAACAUUCAACCAUUAACAAUCUUGGAAUUGGUAGAAGCGUCGAUGAAACAUUGAGAACUCUUCAGGCGUUGCAAUACGUUCAGGAGAACCCAGACGAAGUGUGCCCAGCCGGAUGGAAGCCAGGGGAGAAAUCCAUGAAGCCUGACCCCAAGGGCAGCAAAGAGUACUUUGCAUCCAUAUAAGGAGAUGAAUUACAUUGCUUUUUAUCUAAUUUGUUGUUUACAGGAGCUGGAGGGAGAGAACAGUUUUCUGCAACAUUUUUUUUAAGGUACUGAUCGACUUUUUCGCAUUUUUUUU